rnacentral:rRNA from 1 species
AACGGACGCUGGCGGCAUGCCUAACACAUGCAAGUCGAACGAGACCUUCGGGUCUAGUGGCGCACGGGUGCGUAACGCGUGGGAACCUGCCCUUAGGUUCGGAAUAACUCCCCGAAAGGGGUGCUAAUACCGGAUAAUGUCUUCGGACCAAAGAUUUAUCGCCUUUGGAUGGGCCCGCGUUGGAUUAGCUAGUUGGUAGGGUAAAAGCCUACCAAGGCGACGAUCCAUAGCUGGUCUGAGAGGAUGAUCAGCCACACUGGGACUGAGACACGGCCCAGACUCCUACGGGAGGCAGCAGUGGGGAAUAUUGGACAAUGGGCGAAAGCCUGAUCCAGCAAUGCCGCGUGAGUGAUGAAGGCCUUAGGGUUGUAAAGCUCUUUUACCCGGGAUGAUAAUGACAGUACCGGGAGAAUAAGCUCCGGCUAACUCCGU